AUUGAACGCUGGCGGCAGGCCUAACACAUGCAAGUCGAACGGUAGCACAGAGAGCUUGCUCUUGGGUGACGAGUGGCGGACGGGUGAGUAAUGUCUGGGAAACUGCCUGAUGGAGGGGGAUAACUACUGGAAACGGUAGCUAAUACCGCAUAACGUCGCAAGACCAAAGAGGGGGACCUUCGGGCCUCUUGCCAUCAGAUGUGCCCAGAUGGGAUUAGCUAGUAGGUGGGGUAACGGCUCACCUAGGCGACGAUCCCUAGCUGGUCUGAGAGGAUGACCAGCCACACUGGAACUGAGACACUGUCCAGACUCCUACGGGAGGCAGCAGUGGGGAAUAUUGCACAAUGGGCGCAAGCCUGAUGCAGCCAUGCCGCGUGUAUGAAGAAGGCCUUCGGGUUGUAAAGUACUUUCAGCGAGGAGGAAGGCGAUGCGGUUAAUAACCGUGUCGAUUGACGUUACUCGCAGAAGAAGCACCGGCUAACUCCGUGCCAGCAGCCGCGGUAAAAC
rnacentral:rRNA from 1 species